GAGCAGUGACGAAAAUAGUGCGGCUGUGUUAGAAUGGGUUUUUUCACCAUCGUCACUGCUUCGACGAAAUCUGCGCUUCCUGAGCUC
rnacentral:snoRNA from 1 species